rnacentral:tRNA from 1 species
GAGGAGUGGCCGAGUGGUCGAAGGCGACGGUCUUGAAAACCGUUGACUGAAAGGUCCGUGGGUUCGAAUCCUACCUCCUCC